rnacentral:rRNA from 1 species
AUUGAACGCUGGCGGCAUGCCUUACACAUGCAAGUCGAACGGUAACGCGGGGCAACCUGGCGACGAGUGGCGAACGGGUGAGUAACACAUCGGAACGUGCCCAGUAGUGGGGGAUAGCCCGGCGAAAGCCGGAUUAAUACCGCAUACGACCUACGGGUGAAAGCAGGGGAUCGCAAGACCUUGCGCUAUUGGAGCGGCCGAUGUCAGAUUAGGUAGUUGGUGGGGUAAAAGCCUACCAAGCCGACGAUCUGUAGCUGGUCUGAGAGGACGACCAGCCACACUGGGACUGAGACACGGCCCAGACUCCUACGGGAGGCAGCAGUGGGGAAUUUUGGACAAUGGGCGCAAGCCUGAUCCAGCCAUGCCGCGUGCGGGAAGAAGGCCUUC